rnacentral:rRNA from 1 species
AGAGUUUGAUCCUGGCUCAGAUUGAACGCUGGCGGCAGGCCUAACACAUGCAAGUCGAACGGUAACAUUUCUAGCUUGCUAGAAGAUGACGAGUGGCGGACGGGUGAGUAAUGCUUGGGAACUUGCCUUUGCGAGGGGGAUAACAGUUGGAAACGACUGCUAAUACCGCAUAAUGUCUUCGGACCAAACGGGGCUUUUAGCUCCGGCGCAAAGAGAGGCCCAAGUGAGAUUAGCUAGUUGGUAAGUGAACGGCUUACCAAGGCGACGAUCUCUAGCUGUUCUGAGAGGAAGAUCAGCCACACUGGGACUGAGACACAGCCCAGACUCCUACCGGAGGCAGCAGUGGGGAAUAUUGCACAAUGGGGGAAACCCUGAUGCAGCCAUGCCGCGUGUGUGAAGAAGGCCUUCGGGUUGUAAAGCACCUUUCAAUU